rnacentral:tRNA from 1 species
GAGGGUACAGCUCGGCGGUAGAGCGCAUGCCUCGCAUGCAUGAGGUCCUGGGUUCCAUCCCCAGUACCGCCA